rnacentral:lncRNA from 1 species
AAAAAAGAAAACCAAAUUGCUUGUGUUAAAAUGAUAAUGAUUUGAGAGGGUAAUAAAAGUAAUUUGAAAGUAAGGGACUGUUAUUACUACAAAUCUUACCACUCAAUCAGAUAUUAUCUCAUCAUUACAAGAGUGUGAAAGCCAUUGACAGUGUGAAGUUGUUCCUAAUAAAUGUAAUAAUGUAUGAUUAAGCCAUAACACAAUAUUUUGCAGUGUCUG